CCUGCUCCAGCGGCACAAUGUGAUCCACCGGCAAGGAGGGAUGCCAAUAAGGCAUCCGAUAAGAUAAGUCUUAUAAAAUAUAUAGGUUUAUGAUAGUUAAGACUGAGCUAACAGAUGAGAAUCCUAGUCAUUGGCCAAGCAGCAUUUAUACAUAAUACAAGUUUCUGUGUAUUUGUUUGGGCCUAACUCAGGCAGGCGGCUGGCGUAAUGUGCACAUGUGGCAGUGGGGCUCGGCGGCUUUUGGCAGAAAGAUUUACCAUAACAGGUUACCUCACUCAGGAUGGUUUCUUUUAGUUCCAUCCAUUUACCUGCAAAUUUCAAGAUUCCAUUUUUUUUUCCAGAGUAGUUCUCCAUUGUGUAAAUGUACCACAUUUUCUCUAUCCAUUCUUCAGUUGAGGGUCAUCUACGUGAAAGGGAGAAGGGGAGGGGGGAGGAGAACAAGAGGACUGAGACAGGGGAGGACUAGAGGAGGGCAAGAAAGAAGAUGCCUUGAUAGAGGGAGACAGUACAGGUUUGGAGAGAGGUCUGGCACAGGAGAAAUGUUAGGGGAUCCACAGGGAUGACCCAACUAAGAAUCUAGGAAGUGAUGGAGAAAAUGCCAUUGAUGCCCUUCCCCUAUAAUGAGACUGAUGACUACCUUGGUACCAUUCCUAGAGCCUUCAUCCAGUAGCUGUUUGAAGCAGAAACAGGCACCCACAGCUAAGCGCUGAACCAUACUCCUGGAAUCCAGUUGCAGAGAGGGAGGAGGAAUGAGCAAAGGAGCCAAGACAGUGCUAAAGAAACCUGCAGAAAUAGUUGACCUGACCUAGCAAGAGCACGGAGACCCUAGUCAUAAAGCUGUAGAACCAGCAUUGGACCAAAUCAAGCCUGCUGAGUGCCAGCUAGGAGGCCUGGGCAGUCUAUGGGACCUCUAACAGUGGAGCCAGUCUUUAUCCCUAGAGCACACAUGGAUUUUGGGAGCCUAUUCCCUAUGGAGGGAUACUAUUGCAGCCCAGAUACAGCAAGGAGGGCCUAGGCCCUUCCCCCAAGUGAUAUGACAGACUUUGAUGGUCCCCCGUGGAGGGCCUCACUAUCCCUGGGGAGGAGUGCAGGCUGGAGUCUUAGCCACUCAGGAAGAAGAAUCCCUUGAGCCUAGGAGUUCAAGACCAACAUGGGCUUUAUGGCAAGAUGGAAGAUUGGAAAGGAGGGAGGAAAAGAGAUAAAUGAUAUGUGCAAGAGAUAGAAGCUGAUCAAGAAGGCAGACACCUCAAAAGCAGCAGCUGCAUUCUUGUCCUUUGCAAGAAACAGGAAAUGUCUCUCUUUGUUCUUUUUAUCUCUUUUUAAUAAAGUCUAGGCUUAUUUUCCCUGCCAUCCUGGGCUUUACACACACACACACACACACACACACACACACACACACACACACUUUCACAAGAUGACUAAUGACUGCUUUCUAACAUGACUUUCCCUCCAUCUGGCUGCCAAGGUUUACAUCUUUCUGUACUGUGUUGUGUUUCUCACAAGCUCUAAUAAAAUUGUUCUUGAGUUCC
rnacentral:lncRNA from 1 species